rnacentral:miRNA from 1 species
CUGUGAUAGAGAUUCUUUGC